UCGAGAAUCUUCCGCAAUGGACGAAAGUCUGACGGAGCGAUACCGCGUGAAGGAUGAAGUGCCUCGGCACGUAAACUUCUUUUGUCAGGGACGAAAUUAUUGACGGUACCUGAAGAAUAAGGGGCUCCUAACUCUGUGCCAGCAGGAGCGGUAAUACAGAGGCCCCAAGCAUUAUCCGGAAUCACUGGGCGUAAAGGGUGUCGAGGCGGUCGUAUUAGUCGUUCGUAAAAUCCGUGGGCUCAACCUACGGCGCGCGAGCGAAACGGUACGACUUGAGGUUGGGAGAGGUGCGUGGAACUCACGGUGUAGGGGUGAAAUCCGUUGAUAUCGUGGGGAACACCAAAGGCGAAGGCAGCGCACUGGCCCAAAUCUGACGCUCACACACGAAAGCUAGGGUAGC
rnacentral:rRNA from 1 species